GUGCAUUUUGCCAGCACAUAUACUAAAACUGGAGCAAUACAGAGAAGAUUAGCAUGGCACCUGCCCAAGGAUGACACACAAAUUCUUGAAACUUUCCAUGCUUUU